rnacentral:rRNA from 1 species
GCCUGUUUAUCAAAAACAUGGCUUUUUGUAAUUGAUUUAAAGUCUGGCCUGCCCAAUGAUUAAUUUUGAAUGGCCGCGGUAUUAUGACCGUGCAAAGGUAGCAUAAUCAUUAGUUUUUUAAUUGAAAGCUAGAAUGAACGGUCGGACAAGGGAGUUACUGUCUCUAUUUAAUUUUUAGAAUUUAAUUUUUUAGUAAGAAAGCUUAAAUGUUCUUGAGGGACGAGAAGACCCUAUAGAAUUUUAUAGAAAGGUGUAUGGCUUGUUUUUAGGUUUAUUCACAAGUUUUGUAGUUUUUUAUUUUGUUGGGGUGACAGAAAAAUUUAAAGAACUUUUUCUUUUGUUAUUCAUUAAUUUAUGAUUUUUUGAUCCAUUGUUUUUGAUUAUAAGAUUAAAUUACCUUAGGGAUAACAGCGUUAUUAAUUUGGAGAGUUCUUAUCGAUAAAUUAGUUUGCGACCUCGAUGUUGGAUUAAAAUUAACUUUAGGUGUAGGGGCUUGGAGGUUAAGUCUGUUCGACUUUUAAAAUUUUACAUGAUCUGAGUUCAGACCGG